AAACCAUGCAUUGUACAUUUCUGCAACAAAUCUUUAAACUUCUCUCAUGCUUCAUAUAAGUUUUCAUCCUCCAAUUUCUUGAAAGAUUUGAUAUCAUUCCUUAAUCU